CAGGCAGGCGGUCUGUUAAGUCCUCUGUGAAACUCCGGGGCUCAACCCCGGACUGGCAGAAGAUACUGGCAGACUAGAGAAUGGUAGAGGCAAGCGGAAUUCCUGGUGUAGCGGUGGAAUGCGUAGAUAUCAGGAAGAACACCUGUGGCGAAGGCGGCUUGCUGGGCCAUUUCUGACGCUCAUCUGCGAAAGCGGUGGGGAGCAAACA
rnacentral:rRNA from 1 species